rnacentral:rRNA from 1 species
GCGACCGGCGCACGGUGAGUAACACGUAUCCAACCUGCCGAUGACUCGGGGAUAGCCUUUCGAAAGAAAGAUUAAUACCCGAUGGCAUAGUUCUUCCGCAUGGUAGAACUAUUAAAGAAUUUCGGUCAUCGAUGGGGAUGCGUUCCAUUAGGUUGUUGGCGGGGUAACGGCCCACCAAGCCUUCGAUGGAUAGGGGUUCUGAGAGGAAGGUCCCCCACAUUGGAACUGAGACACGGUCCAA